UUAAGCGACUAAGCGUACACGGUGGAUGCCCUGGCAGUCAGAGGCGAUGAAGGACGUGCUAAUCUGCGAAAAGCGUCGGUAAGGUGAUAUGAACCGUUAUAACCGGCGAUGUCCGAAUGGGGAAACCCAGUGUGAUUCGUCACACUAUCGUUAACUGAAUACAUAGGUUAACGAGGCGAACCGGGGGAACUGAAACAUCUAAGUACCCCGAGGAAAAGAAAUCAACCGAGAUUCCCCCAGUAGCGGCGAGCGAACGGGGAGCAGCCCAGAGUCUGAAUCAGCUUGUGUGUUAGUGGAACGGUCUGGAAAGUCCGACGGUACAGGGUGAUAGUCCCGUACACCAAAAUGCACAGGUUGUGAACUCGAAGAGUAGGGCGGGACACGUGGUAUCCUGUCUGAAUAUGGGGGGACCAUCCUCCAAGGCUAAAUACUCCUGACUGACCGAUAGUGAACCAGUACCGUGAGGGAAAGGCGAAAAGAACCCCGGCGAGGGGAGUGAAAAAGAACCUGAAACCGUGUACGUACAAGCAGUGGGAGCACCUUCGGGUGUGACUGCGUACCUUUUGUAUAAUGGGUCAGCGACUUAUAUUCUGUAGCAAGGUUAACCGUAUAGGGGAGCCGCAGGGAAACCGAGUCUUAACUGGGCGUUAAGUUGCAGGGUAUAGACCCGAAACCCGGUGAUCUAGCCAUGGGCAGGUUGAAGGUUGGGUAACACUAACUGGAGGACCGAACCGACUAAUGUUGAAAAAUUAGCGGAUGACUUGUGGCUGGGGGUGAAAGGCCAAUCAAACCGGGAGAUAGCUGGUUCUCCCCGAAAGCUAUUUAGGUAGCGCCUCGUGAANUCAUCUUCGGGGGUAGAGCACUGUUUCGGCUAGGGGGUCAUCCCGACUUACCAACCCGAUGCAAACUACGAAUACCGAAGAAUGUUAUCACGGGAGACACACGGCGGGUGCUAACGUCCGUCGUGAAGAGGGAAACAACCCAGACCGCCAGCUAAGGUCCCAAAGUCAUGGUUAAGUGGGAAACGAUGUGGGAAGGCACAGACAGCCAGGAUGUUGGCUUAGAAGCAGCCAUCAUUUAAAGAAAGCGUAAUAGCUCACUGGUCGAGUCGGCCUGCGCGGAAGAUGUAACGGGGCUAAACCAUGCACCGAAGCUGCGGCAGCGACACUAUGUGUUGUUGGGUAGGGGAGCGUUCUGUAAGCCUGCGAAGGUGUGCUGUGAGGCAUGCUGGAGGUAUCAGAAGUGCGAAUGCUGACAUAAGUAACGAUAAAGCGGGUGAAAAGCCCGCUCGCCGGAAGACCAAGGGUUCCUGUCCAACGUUAAUCGGGGCAGGGUGAGUCGACCCCUAAGGCGAGGCCGAAAGGCGUAGUCGAUGGGAAACAGGUUAAUAUUCCUGUACUUGGUGUUACUGCGAAGGGGGGACGGAGAAGGCUAUGUUAGCCGGGCGACGGUUGUCCCGGUUUAAGCAUGUAGGCUGGUUAUCCAGGCAAAUCCGGAUAAUCAAGGCUGAGGUGUGAUGACGAGGCACUACGGUGCUGAAGUAACAAAUGCCCUGCUUCCAGGAAAAGCCUCUAAGCAUCAGGUAACAUCAAAUCGUACCCCAAACCGACACAGGUGGUCAGGUAGAGAAUACCAAGGCGCUUGAGAGAACUCGGGUGAAGGAACUAGGCAAAAUGGUGCCGUAACUUCGGGAGAAGGCACGCUGGUGUGUAGGUGAAGUCCCUGCGGAUGGAGCUGAGACCAGUCGAAGAUACCAGCUGGCUGCAACUGUUUAUUAAAAACACAGCACUGUGCAAACACGAAAGUGGACGUAUACGGUGUGACGCCUGCCCGGUGCCGGAAGGUUAAUUGAUGGGGUUAUCCGUAAGGAGAAGCUCUUGAUCGAAGCCCCGGUAAACGGCGGCCGUAACUAUAACGGUCCUAAGGUAGCGAAAUUCCUUGUCGGGUAAGUUCCGACCUGCACGAAUGGCGUAAUGAUGGCCAGGCUGUCUCCACCCGAGACUCAGUGAAAUUGAACUCGCUGUGAAGAUGCAGUGUACCCGCGGCAAGACGGAAAGACCCCGUGAACCUUUACUAUAGCUUGACACUGAACAUUGAGCCUUGAUGUGUAGGAUAGGUGGGAGGCUUUGAAGCGUGGACGCCAGUCUGCGUGGAGCCAACCUUGAAAUACCACCCUUUAAUGUUUGAUGUUCUAACGUUGGCCCCUUACCGGGGUUGCGGACAGUGUCUGGUGGGUAGUUUGACUGGGGCGGUCUCCUCCCAAAGCGUAACGGAGGAGCACGAAGGUUAGCUAAUCCUGGUCGGACAUCAGGAGGUUAGUGCAAUGGCAUAAGCUAGCUUGACUGCGAGCGUGACGGCGCGAGCAGGUGCGAAAGCAGGUCAUAGUGAUCCGGUGGUUCUGAAUGGAAGGGCCAUCGCUCAACGGAUAAAAGGUACUCCGGGGAUAACAGGCUGAUACCGCCCAAGAGUUCAUAUCGACGGCGGUGUUUGGCACCUCGAUGUCGGCUCAUCACAUCCUGGGGCUGAAGUAGGUCCCAAGGGUAUGGCUGUUCGCCAUUUAAAGUGGUACGCGAGCUGGGUUUAGAACGUCGUGAGACAGUUCGGUCCCUAUCUGCCGUGGGCGCUGGAGAAUUGAGGGGGGCUGCUCCUAGUACGAGAGGACCGGAGUGGACGCAUCACUGGUGUUCGGGUUGUCAUGCCAAUGGCACUGCCCGGUAGCUAAAUGCGGAAGAGAUAAGUGCUGAAAGCAUCUAAGCACGAAACUUGCCCCGAGAUGAGUUCUCCCUGAGACUUUAAGUCUCCUGAAGGAACGUUGAAGACGACGACGUUGAUAGGCCGGGUGUGUAAGCGCAGCGAUGCGUUGAGCUAACCGGUACUAAUGAACCGUGAGGCUUAACCUU
rnacentral:rRNA from 1 species